rnacentral:miRNA from 1 species
UGCCCACCCUUUACCCCGCUC